rnacentral:lncRNA from 1 species
UUAUUUAUUGUGGCGUGUAAUUUUCGUAAUUGAAUAUUUUGGUAUUUAUAACUUUAGACUUAAACUGCUAACUAGAGUAAUUAAUAGAUGAGAAUUUUUUUAUUGAGCUUUAGGUGAGUUGUGCCUAAAAUAAAUAGAAUGAGUAUUAUGUUAGUAAGUUAGUAGAAUGGGGGGUGUGAAUUGGAAUUUUGUAGAAAACCUAACUAUAAAAGCUAGUUAGUGAGAGAAUGAGUCAUUAUUCACAUUUCUUAGGGAAGUAAGAAAGAGAGGCUCUAGAAACAAAGGGAGGAAGAAACGAAGAAGAUAGAACCAAGCUCAAAGAACAACCAAGCUUCCAUUUUUCAAGCUUCAUUAGAGGUAUGAGGGUAGUUUUAUAAUCUUUGAGGUGAAUUAAUGGAGAGGAGAGAAGUAUCCUUCUCUAGCUCAAACUCUUCUCAUCUCUUUUUCAUUUUGGGUUAGUUAUGGGAUUUGGGAAUAUGUUAAUCAUAAAAUUUAUGUUAUAAUAUAUGAUUAUCUAUGUGUGUUUAUGAUUUAUAAAUGAAAUGAUUUGAUAAAUGAUGAAAAUCCAUGAAUAAGUGCUUAUAAUUGAUGAUUUAAGUUGAUUUAAUCAUGUUAUAAGUGUGAUAUUUGUUUGACAUGAAUUUAUGGGUUUAAAUAAGUGAUUUUCGUAGCUUUAAAGUGCUUAUUUGGACCAAAAUCGCACCAAAACGUGUCAUGCAGAAUUCUGCAGUAUGAACAGUGCGCUUGCGACGUAAUCUGGCCGACGCUAUAGCCGACGCAACCCCUUAUGUUGACUAUUUUGACUUUUUGUUGACUUAUGCACCCGGAAUCUAUUUUGCUCAUUUUUUCCGUGUAGAUUCCGAUUAUGGAGUUUAUUUUCUAAGAUGAUUGUUGGUUGUUUGUGUUUGCAUAUAUUUUGGUAAUAAAGUAUGCUUAAUUAGUUUUUAUUAAUUGAAUUAAAUAACUAAUUGUUGUUGAUUAGUUUUAGUAUCUUUUGAGUAUGGAAUAAAUGUAUUUUCCAUGAGUUGAUGAUGAUAGUGAUGUUGUUAAGUCUUGUUGAUACAUUAUGUGUUGUUGAUUAAUGAUGAUGAUUAGGCUUGUUGAUAAAUUAUGAUAAAUCAUGAUGUUGAUUUAUUGAUGAUGAUAAAUGAUGAUUUAUCAUGAGUAGAUGUAUUCUAAAGACGAUGAUUUAGAAUAUUUGGAUUAUGUUAUCCAUAUUAUGUUGAUGUUAUAGUUGAGAUAAAACUAUAUGUUUGGUAUAUGCACAUUCAUGCAUUCAUAAGUUGUGUCUAUUGAUGAGUAUCCUAGAGACGAUGAUCUAGUUUACUGUUAUUCUAGAGACGAUGAUCUAGAAUGUUUUAGAGACGAUGAUCUAAAACACUUGGAUUAAGUUAUCCAAAAUUAUGAUGAAAUGGUACCAUAUGCAUUAGAUGUGUCUAGGUGAUAUCACAUCUAUGUGACAUUAGAAUACAUUAGGAAUUGUGUGUUGUUCCUAAUUGUUAAAUGAUACCUGGCAUAUAUAGAAUUCAUUUAUUAAUGUUGAUGAUUAAUACCUCUCAAAUGUGAUGUAUGAUUGAUAAAUGAAUAUAAUGUGUUACCUAAUUAUUAUAACUCGUUAAUAACAUGUAGUUAUGUGAUAUAUGUUAUCUUUAACUCAUAUAUGUGUGUGGAUGUCUGAGUUGUAUCUAUGCAAUUGUUCUUAUUUAUUUAGUGUCGGAUAUUCGUUAUAUUCGAUCACUGGUUAUGAUUAUAUUAUCUAACCCUCUGUUUUGUGUUUGUGCUGAACCGUUGGGGGUUCAGAUUAUCAGGUUGUGUAUGUUUGUCGGUGUUCGAGUUAUUGGUGAAGCUCCGCUCUGAUUAUGACACGGGGAAGGAUUAAUAGAGUCUUUAUUUGUUGUUGUUUUAUUUAAAUUAAAGGUGUAUCUUUUAUAAAAGGGUUUUGUAUAAGUGAUGAUUACUAAUUAAUUUUAUUAGUAGAGUUUUUAAUGAAGAAUGUAACACCUUUUGAACCAAUAUUUUAUAAUUCAUUUUGACUUCGAGUCUUAAAGUUAUUUUUUUAUCCGCUGCGUAGUUUUUGAAAAAGCAUUCUAUAAUUAAGAUAAAUUGAAUAUUAGGUUAGGGUGGUUACACUUCUCACUGGUCGCCAUUAAAGGACAGCUGUUGCGAUGCAUUGCCCUGCACUCAUAUUGAGGCAGAGUUACUUUUUCAAGCCUCUUGCUUUUAUGACAGACAUCUUUUCGUUGCCCAAGUGUGACGUCAUGCUUCUAGGAAGGUGGAUAUGUGUCUUCUUUCCCUUUAUGGAUGCGUUUGAUUUGCAAAAAAUAAGGGACAAGACAGAACAAAAAUAGUUGUCCAGCGUUUGAUUUAAAAAAGGAAAAAAGGACAGUACAAAAAAAGAUCCAGAGGACAGGACAACUAUUAACUUUUUUGUUACCCACUAACGUGGGGGACAACUUUUUGUCCAGCGGACAAAGAAAAGAAAAAUACAGUUUUAUCCCUAGGUUUUCUCGCGCGUGUUCCUUAGCUUAUUUUGCAAACCUUUGUUCACUUUGUUACUCACGCAGUCCUGCAAUUUCUGCAAAUCAUCUCUCAUCUUUAUCAAGUAAGUUCUUCAAUUCCUUUUCUUUUCUUUUAAUUUCCACUCUUUGUUGAUUGCUGGGAGUUUUUGGGUCGCGU